ensembl:miRNA gga-mir-1596 gga-mir-1596
UGGACUUUGUUUCAUUCUCCUUCAAUCCAUCUUUGUCAUGAUUUACAAAAAGAACAAAGGUGGCCGUGGGUGAAUGAAGCCAGGCAUCCA